AAGGACCUACACCAGCCUCUAAAUUAAUCAGAAGAACAAAGCCUAGCUCAUAGUGACCUCCUGCCAAGGUUGUCCAGGGAUAUAUCUUUGAGCACAUGUUAUUAAAGGGAUUAUUAAAAGGAACAUCAAGAAGUGGAGAUCACAAAGAGAAAUGAACUACAUCAAAAGCAGGUCUUACAUGAACACCAUCUCUCUUAUUGCCUGCCUGGUCAACCCGUCUUAGUAUCCUUUACUGGAUCAUCAUCCUUAUUUCCAACCUAUCACGUUGUGGAAGUCCCUGUUGCAACAGAGGCCCAGGGUAUCCAGCCCAGUCCUCUUUCAGCACAGAGUGGCCUGCCCUAUGAAAGAAUCCUGUCCUGGAAUAUCCUGCUUGGCAAAACACCUGGGUACUGCACUCAGAGGCAAUGUUGCAGAUAAAAAGGAGGUGGGUGGCUCAGGGCCUUUGUGGAACAAGACACUCGAUUGUGUAGAGCUGUUUUUUCAGUACACACAUGUUUCAUCUGCUGCUGGCUUCAGGGAAGUAACAUGGAGAGGUAGAACCAUAUGCUUUGCCCAUCUGUCUGGGGGCACUGAGCAAGCACUGGUGUCUUCCAGGGAGGCUUCCCUGAGAUCCCAACCCACCAAGUUCUCACCCUCCUCCAAGAUCUAGCGUAUUUAGAAGGGACCCCUCUGAAUGGUAGGUGCCAAAAGCUUACAAGAUUAAGAGCUCCUUAAAAACAAAAACAAAACAAAAGACCCUGGCACACUUCUUGUACUUCCAUAGGCACUAACCCAAUUCAUUAGGACUAUAAGUGCACAUUAAGUAGUACCUGGGUGAGUGGUUGAUUGGUUGAUUAGAUUGCAAAUCACGGAGUUAAAUUGGCCUAUGUAUAUAUUGGACAGAGCAAAGAAUGCCAGGUUUGGAGGUGAAGGACUAGGGUGUGUGUGCCUGCUGUGUUACUUACUACGAGUGCGACCUCAGGCAUGUCUCUUUACUUUCGUAGGCCUCAAUUUCUUCAUUUGAAAAAGUGGCUGAUAAGAGGAGAGCAAGGAAUAGUUUCCCUGUA